UACGGAGGGUGCAAGCGUUGUUCGGAAUUAUUGGGCGUAAAGGGCGCGUAGGCUGUUGUGUAAGUCAGAUGCGAAAUACUUCGGCUUAACCGAAGAACUGCAUUUGAAACUGCACAGCUAGAGUACAGGAGAGGGAAAUGGAAUUCCCGGUGUAGAGGUGAAAUUCGUAGAUAUCGGGAGGAACACCAGUGGCGAAGGCGAUUUCCUGGCCUGAUACUGACGCUGAGGCGCGAAAGCGUUGGGAGCAGACAGG
rnacentral:rRNA from 1 species